rnacentral:rRNA from 1 species
GCGAACGGGUGAGUAAUAUAUCGGAACGUGCCCUAGAGUGGGGGAUAACUAGUCGAAAGACUAGCUAAUACCGCAUACGAUCUAAGGAUGAAAGUGGGGGAUCGCAAGACCUCAUGCUCGUGGAGCGGCCGAUAUCUGAUUAGCUAGUUGGUGGGGUAAAAGCCUACCAAGGCAACGAUCAGUAGCUGGUCUGAGAGGACGACCAGCCACACUGGGACUGAGACACGGCCCAGACUCCUACGGGAGGCAGCAGUGGGGAAUUUUGGACAAUGGGGGCAACCCUGAUCCAGCAAUGCCGCGUGAGUGAAGAAGGCCUUCGGGUUGUAAAGCUCUUUUGUCAGGGAAGAAACGGUUCUGGAUAAUACCUAGGACUAAUGACGGUACCUGAAGAAUAAGCACCGGCUAACUACGUGCCAGCAGCCGCGGUAAUACGUAGGGUGCAAGCGUUAAUCGGAAUUACUGGGCGUAAAGCGUGCGCAGGCGGUUGUGUAAGUCAGAUGUGAAAUCCCCGGGCUCAACCUGGGAAUUGCAUUUGAGACUGCACGGCUAGAGUGUGUCAGAGGGGGGUAGAAUUCCACGUGUAGCAGUGAAAUGCGUAGAUAUGUGGAGGAAUACCGAUGGCGAAGGCA